GAACCUGUUUCAAGUAAAGAACAGUUACUUCAUAAAGUUGAGAUUGAGCUGCAGAAGAAUAAGCCUUCAACUCAAGUUUUGGCAAUUUUAAAUCGGAAUUUGUUUGAGCCCCAGAUAUUUAAAAGCAUCCUGAUUCGACUGCAAUUAUCUCCAUCUCUUCUUAUAAGCUAGUUUUGCAGGCUUUAUCCCAUGUUUGCAGAUUUCGAAAGUAAUUCUAAAGAGUUUUGCAAUUUAGUUUUUUCCGAUAGGUCGGUUUUUUUGAAUUUAAUAAAAUUUCAAAGUGAUGUCUCUUGUAAAAAGUCUUCUUCCAAUGCUUUCCAUGUAACUCAGUCUGAUAAUCUGGAUGAAAUGCUGGGAGUAUCGAUACCUGGUCCACAAGUAGUAUUCAAUGAAACCAAUUUUAUGAUUUGUAGCAGAAAUGGAUGUGAGCUAAAGAAAGCACAGAUUUCAUCAGCCAGCGAAGUGUUUUGUUGCAUUAUUGCCAUUUACUAUCUUAUGAACUUGACAUAUCCAUCUAGUUAUGCGCAAACACUAGGUGUUUUACAGGAAAUUAUUUUGAAAGACACUUUUC